GUAGUCCUAGCAGUAAACGGUGUGCGCUUGGUGUGAGGGGAUUCGACCCCCCUUGUGCCGGAGCUAACGCGUUAAGCGCACCGCCUGGGAAGUACGGCCGCAAGGCUAAAACUCAAAGAAAUUGACGGGGACCCGCACAAGCGGUGGAGUAUGUGGCUUAAUUCGAUGCAACGCGAAGAACCUUACCAAGGCUUGACAUGGAUUUCUAAGCACGUGAAAGCGUGUGACCCUUCGGGGGACUUCCACAGGUGCUGCAUGGCCGUCGUCAGCUCGUGUCGUGAGAUGUUGGGUUAAGUCCCGCAACGAGCGCAACCCCUGUGAACUGUUGCCAGCGCGUAAAGGCGGGGACUCUGUUCAGACUGCCCAGAUCAACUGGGA
rnacentral:rRNA from 1 species